rnacentral:rRNA from 1 species
UACGUAGGGGGCGAGCGUUGUCCGGAAUUAUUGGGCGUAAAGAGCGUGUAGGCUGUUCGGUAAGUCUGCCGUGAAAACCUGAGGCUCAACCUCGGGCGUGCGGUGGAUACUGUCGGGCUAGAGUCCGGAAGAGGCGAGUGGAAUUCCCGGUGUAGCGGUGAAAUGCGCAGAUAUCGGGAGGAACACCGGUGGCGAAGGCGGCCCCUGGACCGGUCACUGACGCCUGAGGCGCGAAAGCGUGGGGAGCGAACAGG